rnacentral:rRNA from 1 species
GACGAACGCUGGCGGCGUGCUUAACACAUGCAAGUCGAGCGGUAAGGCCCUUUCGGGGUACGACGAGCGGCGAACGGGUGAGUAACACGUGGGUGACCUGCCCUCAGCUCUGGGAGUAAGCCCGGGAAACUGGGUCUAAUACCGGAUAUGACUUCAUGACGCAUGUUGUGGAGUGGAAAGCCUUGUGCGGCUGAGGAUGGGCCCGCGGCCUAUCAGCUUGUUGGG